CUAGGAUUAUAAUCUGGCCCUAAAUCUAUAUGUGCUGAAAAAUUUCAUACUACUAAAUCCGUAGACCGUGGUUAAUACGAAACCGAGAAGCGGACAGGAUCAUCGCCAAAUCGAAGGAGAUUGAACGAAGCAGCCCAGCCAAAUUCCCCUCGCCGCCCCGUCCCUUCUCGACAUUUCUUGUCCCGUCGUCGCCUCAAUCUCGAAGCCUCUCCGGCGGAGCCGCCUCAUCAUCGUUCCGAAGGCCUCCAACCAAACAUCCUCUAGGGUUUCCGCAUCGUCCGUCGCGAUGGGCUUCACGAAGCGGUCGCCCCAGCAUCCCGCCUCCCCAGCCGGCGGCGAGGUCGGCGCCCAGACGGCAGGGAAGGUCACACCAGUGCCGGCGGCGCCGGAGUCGGCGCCCGCGGCGGUGGUGCCGAGGCCUCCGGACGUGGCGCCCUUCCUGACCAAGGUCUACGACAUGGUCUCCGACCCGGCCACCGACGCGGUCAUCUCCUGGAGCGCCGCCGGCGGCAGUUUCGUGAUCUGGGACUCGCACGCUUUCGAGCGCGACCUGCUGCCGCGGCACUUCAAGCACAAUCACUUCACCAGCUUCAUACGCCAGCUCAACACCUACGGAUUUCAUAAAGUUGAUCCAGAUAGAUGGGAAUGGGCCAAUGAAGGCUUUGUUAAGGGCCAAAAACAUCUUUUGAAGACCAUCAAGAGAAAGAAGAAAUCCUCUCAGGAUGUACCUAGUGAUCUGCAGUCGGUGCCUGUCAAAACUGCACCUGGCACUGAGAAUAUCGAGAUAGGAAAAUAUGGAGGCCUUGAAAAGGAGGUUGAGACACUUAAGAGGGACAAGGCCCUUCUAAUGCAGCAGCUUGUAGAUCUACGGCAGUACCAGCAAUCAUCUAGCGCUGAAGUGCAGAAUUUAAUUCAACGCCUCCGUGUGAUGGAGCAGAACCAGCAGCAGAUGAUGGCACUUUUGGCAAUUGUUGUCCAGAAUCCAGACUUCCUGAACCAGCUCGUGCAGCAGCAGCGCAGGAGUAACUGGUGGAAUGAUGAUGGUAACAGGAAAAGAAGGUUCCAAGCUCUGGAACAUGGUCCUGUAGAUGACCAAGAGACUUCUGGUGGAGGCGCACAAAUUAUUCAAUAUCGUCCUCCUGUUCCUGAAACUUCCAAUCAGCCAAUACCAGCAAAUGAAGCUUUCUAUUCAACCCCUGCACAACCAGCUUCAAGCCCUGCACUUGAGAUGCCCAUGGAUGUAGAGAUGGCUUCAAACAAUGUUAAUACCUUUGAUUCAACUGGCAAUGAUUUUACUGACACCUCUGCUCUAUGUGAAUGGGAUGACAUGGAUAUAUUUGGUGAUGAACUUGAGCACAUUCUUCAACAGCCAGAGCAGGACUUUCAAGUGGACCCUCCUUUAACAGUUGAGGAUUAUGGUUAUGAUCAUCCACGGUUAGAGCAGGACUGUCAGAUGGAAGCACAACAGAAUUGCAAAAAUCCUCAAUAUGUUGCCUGUGUCUUGAAGCAAAGGGAAAGCCAUGCAUCUGAUGUCCAUUAGUACUGAUCAGUUUGAGCUGAUGUCAUAACUGAAGCAUGAGCGGUGGUCCCCCAGAAUGUUGUCCAGUAACAUUAGUGGAUAGAGUUUUUGCAGAUUUGUGAUGAACAGAAUCUUGAGACUGGCAGGUUAGCCACCAUUGGGAACCUGAAGACCGUCGGGAUUGCUCAGAAUUCAGUAUACUAAUACUAAUACUAAAAAAAAAAUAUACAGUAACACAUGUUGACUAUACAUGAUUUCGUUUUCCUUACUCGCUCGACCAAAGGCAGCCGUACAAUGUUUUUACUUUUGUCCAGGUGGGAGCAUCUAGGUCUUUAAAUGGUUUCGGUGAUUAAUGGUGAUCCUAGAUUAUUAUGA